ACGUUAAACCAACACAUAAAUGUGUAGAGACAAAGAGUUUAAUCAACUUAAUGAUCUGAGAGUUGUAUGGAGAUACAAUUGAUUGUAUCUACUCAAAUAGUUUAUUAAUGUUUGUUGAUUACACUCAAGAUCUUAAUAUACCAAAUGGGGUCCCAAACCACUAGUAAUCAAGCACGGAUUCUAUUAAUUUAAGCAUGAGGGUCAUAAAUUUAUUAUAA
rnacentral:lncRNA from 1 species